ACACGACUACAUUAGAUACCCGUGUAGUCCUAGCCGUAAACGAUACUCGCUAGGUGUCGGCCACGGUGCGACCGUUGUCGGUGCCGUAGGGAAGCCGUGAAGCGAGCCACCUGGGAAGUACGGCCGCAAGGCUGAAACUUAAAGGAAUUGGCGGGGGAGCACCACAAGAGGUGGAGCCUGCGGUUUAAUCGGACUCAACGCCGGGAAUCUCACCGGAUAAGACAGCUGAAUGAUAGUCGGGAUGAAGACUCUACUUGACUAGCUG
rnacentral:rRNA from 1 species